rnacentral:rRNA from 1 species
CCUACGGGAGGCAGCAGUGAGGAAUAUUGGUCAAUGGACGAGAGUCUGAACCAGCCAAGUAGCGUGAAGGAUGACUGCCCUAUGGGUUGUAAACUUCUUUUAUAAAGGAAUAAAACGAGGCACGUGUGCCUUUUUGCAUGUACUUUAUGAAUAAGGCUCGGCUAACUCCGUGCCAGCAGCCGCGGUAAUACGGAGGAUCCGAGCGUUAUACGGAUUUAUUGGGUGUAAAGGGAGCGUAGAUGGGUUGUUAAGUCAGUUGUGAAAGUUUGCGGCUCAACCGUAAGAUUGCAAUUGAUACUGGCAGUCUAGAGUACAGGUGAGGUAGGCGGAAUUCGUGGUGUAGCGGUGAAAUGCUUAGAUAUCACGAAGAACCCCGAUUGCGAAGGCAGCUUACUAAACUGUGACUGACGUUGAUGCUCGAAAGUGUGGGGAUCAAACAGGAUUAGAUACCCGAGUAGUC